UAGCGUAGGGGGCUAGCGUUGUCCGGAAUCGAUUGGGCGUAAAGAGCGUGUAGGCGGCCAGGUAGGUCUGGUGUGAAAACUCGAGGCUUAACCUCGAGAUGUCAUCGGAAACCAUUUGGCUAGAGUCCGGAAGAGGAGAGUGGAAUUCCUGGUGUAGCGGUGAAAUGCGCAGAUAUCAGGAAGAACACCAAUGGCGAAAGCAGCUCUCUGGGACGGUACUGACGCUGAGACGCGAAAGCGUGGGGAGCGAACAGG
rnacentral:rRNA from 1 species